rnacentral:rRNA from 1 species
GUCCACGCCGUAAACGAUGGGUGCUAGGUGUCGCGGGCUUUGACCCCUGCGGUGCCGCAGCUAACGCAUUAAGCACCCCGCCUGGGAAGUACGGCCGCAAGGCUAAAACUCAAAGGAAUUGACGGGGGCCCGCACAAGCGGUGGAGCAUGUGGUUUAAUUCGACGCAACGCGAAGAACCUUACCUGGGCUAGAAAACACGAGAACCCGGUUGAAAAGUCGGGGUGCUCUUCGGAGAACUUGUGGUUAGGUGCUGCAUGGCUGUCGU